rnacentral:lncRNA from 10 species
GAAGACCGGUCUCUGCAGCUCACUGCUGCUGGAAGGAAAACUCACAUGAUCACAUUUUGUGUACACAUGCAUCCACAUGCAUAGUGAAACCAGUAUAGGGCUGAGAGCUUCCAGAUUGAUGAACACGUCUACGUGCUGGGGGUGGUGCAUCUCAGCUCCAUGGAGACAGAAGUGCCUGUGCUUGGGACCCUUUCAGACCUUGCCCUCUGCAUCUCUUUAUCUGGCUGUGUGUGUGUAUCCUUUGUAAUAUUCUUUGUAAUAAAGUGGUAGGUGAAUAUAAG